UUGUGAAAGGUGUGUGGUUAAUAUAUGUAAGAACAAUUACACCUGGAUGAUUUAUUAUAUGGUUUCAUGGUUUGGGAACGUAUGCGGGUGCAGAAUCUGACCAGUACCAGAACCUGGAAAACUGCGAUUUGAGACCCGACGAUGAAGUUCAGAGCUCAAGUUUCAAAUCCUUUGUGCUCAGAUAGCUCCGGGUAUUGUUUUUGUUUAUAGCGGUAACUAUAUAUAACUGCGUAACAGGGCAGAGGAACCUAGGAACAUAUUAUUCCAUGAACGCAGAUGGAGGUUGAAGCAGCAGGUUUAU
rnacentral:lncRNA from 1 species